rnacentral:rRNA from 1 species
ANACUCCUACGGGAGGCAGCAGUGGGGAAUAUUGGACAAUGGGCGAAAGCCUGAUCCAGCCAUGCCGCGUAUGUGAAGAAGGUCUUCANAUUGUAAAGCACUUUAAGUUGGGAGGAAGGGCAGUUACCUAAUACGUAUCUGUUUUGACGUUACCGACAGAAUAAGCACCGGCUAACUCUGUGCCAGCAGCCGCGGUAAUACAGAGGGUGCAAGCGUUAAUCAGAAUUACUGGGCGUAAAGCGCGCGUAGGUGGUUCGUUAAGUUGGAUGUGAAAUCCCCGGGCUCAACCUGGGAACUGCAUUCAAAACUGUCGAACUAAANUAUGGUAGAGGGUGGUGGAAUUUCCUGUGUAGCGGUGAAAUGCGCAGAUAUAGGAAGGAACACCAGUGGCGAAGGCGACCACCUGGACUGAUACUGACACUGAGGUGCGAAAGCGUGGGGAGCAAACAGGGA